UGGGGAAUCUUGCACAAUGGGGGCAACCCUGAUGCAGCGACGCCGCGUGAGCGAUGAAGGUUUUCGAAUCGUAAAGCUCUGUCCUAUGGGAAGAUAAUGACGGUACCAUAGGAGGAAGCCCCGGCUAACUACGUGCCAGCAGCCGCGGUAAUACGUAGGGGGCGAGCGUUGUCCGGAAUUACUGGGCGUAAAGGGUUCGCAGGCGGCAUGGCAAGUCCGAUGUACAAGGCGAAGGCUCAACCUUCGUAAGCAUCGGAAACUGUCAAGCUUGAGUGAAGGAGAGGCAAGUGGAAUUCCUAGUGUAGCGGUGAAAUGCGUAGAGAUUAGGAGGAACACCGGUGGCGAAAGCGGCUUUUUGGCCUGCAACUGACACUGAGGCGCGAAAGCGUGGGGAGCAAACAGG
rnacentral:rRNA from 1 species